GACAGAGGGUGCGAACGUUGUUCGGAAUUACUGGGCGUAAAGCGCGUGUAGGCGGCCAGGUAGGUCGGUUGUGAAAACUGGAGGCUCAACCUCCAGACGUCGACCGAAACCAUCUGGCUAGAGUCCGGAAGAGGAGAGUGGAAUUCCUGGUGUAGCGGUGAAAUGCGCAGAUAUCAGGAAGAACACCGAUGGCGAAGGCAGCUCUCUGGGACGGUACUGACGCUGAGACGCGAAAGCGUGGGGAGCAAACAGG
rnacentral:rRNA from 1 species